GGUCAAGCGAUCAAGGGCACAGGGUGGAUGUCUAGGCACGGACUGGCGAUGAAGGACGUGGCAAGCUGCGAUAAGCCAGGGGUAGCUGCAAGCAAGCGUUAAUCCCUGGAUUUCCGAAUGGGGAAACCCGGCCGGGGUGAUGCCCGGUCAUCCCUUCGCUGAAUACAUAGGCGUUGGGAAGCGAACCGAGGGAACUGAAACAUCUAAGUACCUCGAGGAAGAGAAAACAACCGUGAUUCCCUCAGUAGCGGCGAGCGAACGGGGAAGAGCCCAAACCAUGGAGGUGUCAAGGCGGCAGCCGUUGCUUCCAUGGGGUAGCAGGGUGGUUCGUGAGAGUCUGCCGGCUCUCGGAGCGUCGCGCGACGGUGAGUCGAAUCCGUCUGGAAAGCCAAGCCACAGAGGGUGACAGCCCCGUAGGCGAAGCCGACGUCGCGAUCUCUGGACCAUUCCUGAGUAGGUCGGGACACGUGAAAUCCCGAUUGAAUCCGGCAGGACCACCUGCCAAGGCUAAAUACACGUCCGUGACCGAUAGCGAACGAGUACCGUGAGGGAAAGAUGAAAAGUACGCCGGGAGGCGGGUGAAACAGAUCCUGAAACCGUGUGCCUACAAGCGGUGGGAGCUCGACCCUCUCUUCGUGAGAGACGUCGGGUGACCGCGUGCCUUUUGCAUUAUGAUCCGGCGAGUUGUUCCUCAGUAGCGAGGUUAAGCCGUUCAGCGGCGGAGCCGAAGCGAAAGCGAGUCUUAACUGGGCGUAGAGUUGCUGGGGACAGACCCGAAACCAGAGUGAUCUAUCCAUGGCCAGGUUGAAGCGAGGGUAAUGCUUCGUGGAGGACCGAACCGUUGUGGGUUGAAAACUGCUCGGAUGAGCUGUGGAUAGGGGUGAAAGGCCAAUCAAACCUGGAGAUAGCUGGUUCUCCCCGAAAGAUAUUUAGGUAUCGCCUCUGAGUGUAGACUGCGGGAGGUAGAGCACUGGAAGGGCUAGGGCCCUAAACCGGGUACCAACCCCUACUAAACUCCGAAUGCCCGUUAGUUGGUCUCAGGGAGGAAGUGCACGUGCGAUAAUGUUCGUGCGCGAGAGGGAAAGAGCCCAGACCUUCAGCUAAGGUCCCCAAGUGCUAGCUAAGUGACAAAGGUGGUGGAUUUGCGGAGACAACUGGGAGGUUGGCUUAGAAGCAGCCAUCCUUGAAAGAGUGCGUAAUAGCUCACCAGUCAAGCGGAUCUGCGCCGAUAAUGGUCGGGACUCAAGUUAGCCACCGAAGCUAAGGCUGCGCGCAUACGCGCGCGGGGUAGGGGAGCGUUGCCUGAGCCGUGAAGCGGGGCCGGAAGGCUACCCGUGGAGCGCAGGCAAGUGAGAAUGCCGGAAUGAGUACGCGAUAAACAAGGUGAGAACCCUUGUCGCCGUAAGCCCAAGGUUUCCUGAGCCAUGCCAAUCAGCUCAGGGUUAGUCGGCCCCUAAGGUGAGGCCGAGAGGCGUAGCCGAUGGAAAACGGGUCAACAUUCCCGUACCACACGAUACUGCGCUUGAGUCUGCGGAGGGACGCAGAGGUGAAAGGUCCGUCGUUUCCAUGGACAUGAACGAUGUAAGGAGGUAGGCGUUUCCGGGUAGGCAAAUCCGCCCGGUGAAGCCGAGAUCCGAUGCCGAAGAAGUCUUCGGACUUCGCUAAGGGACCGUAAUCGUACUGCCAAGAAAAGCUUCGUGGACGAGGAGUACGUGUGACCGUACCGUAAACCGACACAGGUGGGCGAGGCGAGUAGCCUCAGGCGCUCGAGUGAGUCUUGGUUAAGGAACUCGGCAAAAUGUCCCCGUAACUUCGGGAGAAGGGGAGCCGGCGGUAGGUGACCCUGCCUCGCGCAGGAGAGCCGAAACCGGCCGCAGAGAAUCGGCCCAAGCGACUGUUUAGUAAAAACACAGGUGUCUGCAAAGUCGUCAAGACGACGUAUAGGCACUGACGCCUGCCCGGUGCCGGAAGGUUAAAUGGAAGGGUUAGCUUCGGCGAAGCUCUGAAAUGAAGCCCCGGUAAACGGCGGCCGUAACUAUAACGGUCCUAAGGUAGCGAAAUUC
rnacentral:rRNA from 1 species